rnacentral:rRNA from 2 species
GAAAGUAAUAAAGGGCGUAUGGGGGAUGCCUAGGCUCUUGGAGGCGAAGAAAGACGUGGUAAGCUGCGAUAAGCCUCGGGGAUUUGCAAACGAGAAUUGAUCCGAGGAUUUCUGAAUGGGACAACCCGGCAGGCAGAAGGCCUGUCACACGAAAGUGGGCCAACCCUCUGAACUGAAACAUCUUAGUAGGAGGAGGAAAAGAAAGAAACAUCGAUUUCCUAAGUAGCGGCGAGCGAACGGGAAACAGCCUAAACCACAAUUGUUACGGCAACUGUGGGGUUGUAGGACUGCAAUAUUCAAAUGACUGUGAACUGGAAUGUUCUGGAAAGUUCAUCCAUAGAGAGUGAAAGACUCGUACAGGCAAGCACGUCAGGCGAUAGCAGUAUCCUGAGUAGGGCGGGACACGAGGAAUCCUGUCUGAAUCCGCCGGGACCACCCGGUAAGGCUAAAUACUCCCAAGAGACCGAUAGUGAACCAGUACCGUGAGGGAAAGGUGAAAAGAACCCCGAACAGGGGAGUGAAAUAGAACCUGAAACCAUACGCUUACAACCUGUCGGAGCGGCUUCGUGCCGUGACGGCGUGCCUAUUGAAUAAUGAGCCUACGAGUUACUAAUCACUGGCAAGGUUAAGUGCACGGAUGCACGGAGCCGAAGCGAAAGCGAGUCUGAAUAGGGCGUUUAGUCAGUGGUUGUAGACGCGAAACCUUGCGAUCUACCCUUGAGCAGGUUGAAGGUUGGGUAAAACCAACUGGAGGACCGAACGAAUAAGCGUUGAAAAGCUUCUCGAUGACUUGAGGGUAGGGGUGAAAGGCUAAUCAAGCUGGGAAAUAGCUCGUACUCCCCGAAAUGCCUUUAGGGGCAGCGUUGUAAUUAAGAGUCUACUGGAGGUAGAGCUACUGAUUGGAUGCGGGGGCUUCACCGCCUACCAAAUCCUGACAAACUCCGAAUGCCAGUAGUAUGAUUUACAGCAGUGAGCGACCGGGUGCUAAUGUCCGGUUACGAGAGUGGAACAACACAGACCAGCAACUAAGGUCCCCAAGAGUAUACUAAGUUGAUCUAACGAUGUUUUGCUGCAGAGACAGCUAGGAUGUUAGCUUGGAAGCAGCUAUUCAUUCAAAGAGUGCGUAACAGCUCACUAGUCGAGCGGCAAAGCGUGGAUAAUAAACGGGCAUCAAGUAUACCACCGAAGUUCUGGGCACGAAAGUGCGGUAGGGGAGCAUUCCAUUCCGCGUUGAAGCCGAACCGUGAGGUUUGGUGGAGUGUAUGGAAAAGCAAAUGUAGGCAUGAGUAACGAUAAUGCGGGAGAGUAACCCGCACACCGCAAGACCAAGGUUUCCUGAUCAACGCUAAUCGGAUCAGGGUUAGUCGGGUCCUAAGGGUAAGCCGAACGGUGAUCUCGAUGGAUAAUCGGUUAAUAUUCCGAUACUGACAUAUACCUCGAUGGAGAGACGAAGGAACGUAAGUGCCGCCACCUGACGGAAUAGGUGGUUAAAGGGCUUAGGUAUAGGGGCAGAUUAAGAGUUAGUCCUUGCUGAAACCUGACAGUACAGAGAGCCUACGGGCAAUUUGAUAGUGCACCCAAGUCGACUUCCGAGAAAAUCUUCUAAGUUAUAGUAUAUGUCACCCGUACCGUAAACCGACACAGGUGGUCGAGGAGAGUAUCCUAAGGUGCUCGAGUGAAUCACGGUUAAGGAACUAGGCAAAUUAACCCCGUAACUUCGGGAAAAGGGGUCCCAUCGCGAGGUGGGCGCAGCGAAGAGGUCCAGGCGACUGUUUAUCAAAAACACAGGGCUCUGCAAAUUCGAAAGAAGACGUAUAGGGCCUGACACCUGCCCGGUGCUGGAAGGUUAAGAGGGGAUGUCAUCGCAAGAGAAGCAUUGAAUCGAAGCCCCAGUAAACGGCGGCCGUAACUAUAACGGUCCUAAGGUAGCGAAAUUCCUUGUCGGGU